rnacentral:rRNA from 1 species
UGGGGAAUAUUGCGCAAUGGGCGAAAGCCUGACGCAGCGACGCCGCGUGGGGGAUGAAGCUUCUCGGAGUGUAAACCCCUUUCGACCCGGACGAAUGACCCGCAAGGGUUUGACGGUACGGGUAUAAGAAGCCCCGGCUAACUACGUGCCAGCAGCCGCGGUAAUACGUAGGGGGCCAGCGUUGCUCGGAAUUACUGGGCGUAAAGGGUUCGUAGGUGGUGCGGCAAGUUGGAAGUGAAAUCUCUGGGCUUAACCCAGAGGCUGCUUUCAAAACUGCCGUGCUCGAGUGCGAGAGAGGCCAGUGGAAUUGCAGGUGUAGCGGUGAAAUGCGUAGAUAUCUGCAGGAACACCCGUGGCGAAGGCGGCUGGCUGGAUCGCAACUGACACUGAGGAACGAAAGCUAGGGGAGCAAACAGGAUUAGAUACCCUGGUAGUCCUAGCCCUAAACUAUCAGAACUGGGCGUGUAUCCUGUACGGGGUACGUGCCGUAGCUAACGCGUUAAGUUCUGCGCCUGGGGAGUACGGUCGCAAGGCUG